CACGGAGGCCCCAAGCGUUGUUCGGAAUUACUGGGCGUAAAGGGUGCGUAGGCGGCGAGGUAAGUCAGAUGUGAAAGCCCGGGGCUCAACCCCGGAAUAGCAUCCGAUACUGCCUUGCUUGAGGAUUGGAGAGGAGACUGGAAUUCAAGGUGUAGCAGUGAAAUGCGUGGAUAUCGUGAGGAAGGCCAAUGGCGAAGGCAGGUCUCUGGACAAUUCCUGACGCUGAGGCAAGAAGGCCAGGGGAGCAAAAAGG
rnacentral:rRNA from 1 species